rnacentral:rRNA from 1 species
UACAGAGGGUGCAAGCGUUGUUCGGAAUUACUGGGCGUAAAGCGCGUGUAGGCGGUCUGGUAAGUCGGUCGUGAAAUCCCUAGGCUUAACCUAGGAACUGCGUCUGAAACUGUUAGACUUGAGUAUCGGAGGGGGUGGCGGAAUUCCCGGUGUAGAGGUGAAAUUCGUAGAUAUCGGGAGGAACACCUGUGGCGAAGGCGGCCACCUGGAAGAUUACUGACGCUGAGACGCGAAAGCGUGGGGAGCAAACAGG